UCAUUUUUCUUUGCAUCAACCUCGUUUUCUCCAUAAAGAAAAAAGUUAGGUCUUGGUUCAAAAUCUUUAGCCGUCCCCUUGUUUUCCUUUGUAUCAACCCCUUUUUCUCCAUAAAGAAAAAAGUUAGGUCUUGAUUCAAAAUCUUUAAUGGACCCCUUGUUUUCCUUUGUAUCAACCCUUUUUCCUCCAUAUAGAAAAAAGUUAGGUCUUGGUUCAAAAUCUUUAGUGGCCUCCUUAUUUUCCUCUGCAUCAACCCCAUUUUCCGCAUACAGAAAAAAGUUUGGUCUUGGUUCAAAAUCUUUAAUGAACCCCUUAUUUUCCUUUGCAUCUACCCCAUUUUUUCCAUAAAGAAAAAAGUUAGGUCUUGGAUUAAAAUCUUUAGUGGCCCCCUUGUUUUCCUUUGCAUUAACACCAUUUUCUCCAUAAAGAAAAAAAUUAGGUCUUGGUUCAAAAUCAUUAGUGGCCCCCUUGUUUUUCUCUGUAUCGACCCUUUUUUCCCCAUACAGAAAAAAACUAGGUCUUGGUUCAAAAUCUUUAUUGACCCCCCUGUUUUCCUUUGUAUUAACCUCUUUUUUUCCAUAUAGAAAAAAGUUAGGCCUUGAUUCAAAAUCUUUAGUCGCCUCUUUGUUUUCCUCUCCAUCAACCCCAUUUUCCCCAUAAAGAAAAAAGUUAGGUCUUGGUUCGAAAUCUUUACCGGACCUCUUGUUUUCCUUUGCAUCUACCCCAUUUUCCCCAUAAAGAAAGAAGUUAGGUCUUGGUUCGAAAUCUUUACCGGACCUCUUGUUUUCCUUUGCAUCUACCCCAUUUUCUCCAUAAAGAAAAAAGUUAGGUCUUGGUUUAAAAUCUUUAUUGGCCACCUUGUUUUCCUUUGCAUCAAUCGCAUUGUCUCCGUAAAGAAAAAAGUUAGGUCUUGGUUCAAAAUCUUUAUUGGCUCCCUUGUUUGCCUUUGCAUCAAUCUCAUUGUCUCCAUAAAGAAGAUCAUUAG
rnacentral:lncRNA from 1 species